GACAGAGGAGGCAAGCGUUGUUCGGAUUCAUUGGGCUUAAAGGGCGUGUAGGCGGCUGCGUAAGUGUCGGGUGAAAUCCCGUCGCUCAACGACGGAACUGCUCGGCAUACUGCGCAGCUUGAGGUCGGUAGAGGUGCCUGGAACUCUAGGUGGAGCGGUGAAAUGCGUAGAUAUCUAGAGGAACGCCUGAGGCGAAAGCGGGGCACUGGGCCGAUUCUGACGCUGAGACGCGAAAGCGUGGGGAGCAAACAGG
rnacentral:rRNA from 1 species